rnacentral:rRNA from 1 species
AUUGAACGCUGGCGGCAUGCUUUACACAUGCAAGUCGAACGGCAGCGCGGGCUUCGGCCUGGCGGCGAGUGGCGAACGGGUGAGUAAUAUAUCGGAACGUACCCAAGAGUGGGGGAUAACGUAGCGAAAGUUACGCUAAUACCGCAUACGAUCUAAGGAUGAAAGCAGGGGAUCGCAAGACCUUGUGCUCCUGGAGCGGCCGAUAUCUGAUUAGCUAGUUGGUGGGGUAAAGGCCCCACCAAGGCAACGAUCAGUAGCUGGUCUGAGAGGACGACCAGCCACACUGGAACUGAGACACGGUCCAGACUCCUACGGAGGCAGCAGUGGGGAAUUUUGGACAAUGGGGGCAACCCUGAUCCAGCAAUGCCGCGUGAGUGAAGAAGGCC